UGGGGAAUUUUGCACAAUGGGGGAAACCCUGAUGCAGCGACGCCGCGUGAUUUAGAAGGCCUUCGGGUUGUAAAAAUCUUUUCUAUGGGAAGAAAAUGACAGUACCAUAGGAAUAAGGACCGGCUAAUUACGUGCCAGCAGCCGCGGUAAUACGUAAGGUCCGAGCGUUGUCCGGAAUCAUUGGGCGUAAAGGGUACGUAGGCGGGUAAGCAAGUUAGAAGUGAAAUCCUAUAGCUCAACUAUAGUAAGCUUUUAACACUGCUCAUCUUGAGGUAUGGAAGGGAGAGUGGAAUUCCUAGUGUAGCGGUGAAAUGCGCAGAUAUUAGGAGGAAUACCGGUGGCGAAGGCGACUUUCUGGCCAUAACCUGACGCUGAGGUACGAAAGCGUGGGUAGCAAACAGG
rnacentral:rRNA from 1 species